AGCGGGACGUGGGUAAAUGAGAGAACAUAAGGUAUUGCUCCUGCAAGCAGAACAUCCCAUCUUCAAAAUGGCCUUCACUUCAUAUGAAUCGGCUCCAAGAGAGGGGCACUGACCUCAUCUCACCAGGAAUAUCAAACAUCUCCACAGCUUUGAUGAACCUUUUGAUGAGAGUGGAAAAAGGAGAAAUGUACACAUCAGCUGUGUAAUCAUGUGCUGGAUGGGUCUGGAUGCAUCCUAAGGGAACUUGUAAAAAAAAUCCUGAGAACAAGACAAAGCAAAGAGGGCAACCUGCAUGAUCCCCAGGCAAUCUUCACAGAUGUGCUCAAGCUGAUAGUGCAGAUGAACCUGUGAAAACAAGUCCUUGGGAUCCUGGAGGAAGCAGCACAGAGUGAUUCCACAGAGGGAAAGCCAGCACCUACAAUGAUUGUGAUUCCUCAGACCAUGGAAUUUGGGCUUUCUGAUACAGAUGGAAUCCAGGCUGAUGAGAAGGCUUCCUGAGACUCAUGCCUUCCAGCACUUCUUGUUGACCUCCCCUUCAAACUCAGGACAUUGAUGGAUCAUCACAAUGGACAAACUACUCUGGACCUACAUUGUCAUAGAAAUUCAAGUCAUGUCCCCGUUGGAGUUUACAGCGAUAUAUUCUUUCACUGAGAAAUUAUAUUCUUUUGAGAGCAAACCUUUUGCAGGUACUUAUCAGUUCUUAUGAAGUUGUCACCUGGGGAAGAUUCUCAUGCCUAGGAUGAAAUACAUCAAAGAGUAAGAAAAUUUCCACCCCUCCUAAACAAUCAUUCUAUGAUCAAGACAUCGACUAGUAGCAUGGGAGUCCAGAUUUCAAGUUUCUGUUCUGCAAGGUGUCAGAAUCCUGUAUUUCCAGGCAAGCUUUCUGGCCACCAAAAUAUCAAGCUAUUCUUGUAUUCUGUCUCUCCUGUUGGACCUGUUUCACUUUGUAUAAAUAAAUAACCACUAAUUGAACAAGGGCUUGAAC